UCACUCCGAGGAGGUCACCAAGGGAAAUCAUAAACAAACUCCAAUCACUUAUGUGGUUGAGAGCUGAUUCUAGGGGUUUUUAAUUCUCUACUUCAGUUUGCCAUGCUGGCAGCAAAGCAGUCUUUAGAGCAAGAAAAAGCCCUCAAUGUAGUGGAGGUACCAGCAGCUGCACUGAAAUGAUGAGGAAGGAGCAGCAACAUUUCGGGACUUCUUGGGUGGAAGAAAGUUGGCAGAGAGAAAGUCCACAGUCUUCAACUCCAUGAGGAAUUAAGAGGAAGGCCUCACCCAUGCUUGAAAAAUAACUGCUUCUAGUCUAAAUAGUAACCAAGAUCUGCUGGAAACAUUUGGAAUGUACCUCUGCCUCUCCAAAGCUCCUCUCCAUAUCCCUAUUGUGUAGACAUUAUCUUUUUUUAACUUGUAUUUUAGGUCUGGGGUACACAUUAAGGUUAUAUGAGUAAACUCAUCUCAAGGGGGCUGUUGUACAGAUUAUUUCAACACCUAGGUAUUAAGCCAUACUCAAUAGUUAUUUUUCCUGCUCCUCCCCGUCCUCCUAUCCAGUACCUUCAGGUAGACCCCAGUGUCUGUUGUUCCCUUCUUUGUGUUCAUGAGUUCUCACCAUUUAGCUCCCACUUGUAAGUGAGAACAUAUGGUAUUUGGCUUUAGGCUUCCGCAUUAGUUUGCUAAGGAUACACAUACACACAAAUGUUGAUUGCAGCACUUUCACAAUAGUAAAGAUAUGAACUCAACCUAAAUGUCCAUUAAUGACAAAGUGGAUAAGAAAAUGGGAUUUCCACCAAGAUGGCUGAAUAGGAACAGCUCUGGUGUGCAGUUCCCAGCAAGAGCCACAGAAGGUGAGUGAUCUCCACAUUUCCAAGUAAGGUACCAGUUUCAUCUCAUUGGGGCUGGUUAGA